CAUUCACAGGGUGCCGAGGAGAGCAGCGGAAGUGGACCUCACUGGUGCAGACAGCAAGGAACGCUACCGAUUAUUGCAAAGAAAUCCUCAUCGAUCUCCCUGCUUCAAGCCUCCCUCCAGUUCAGUCAUGCUCAGGAACCCCCAUCCUCUUCUCAAUCGUGGACCAAUAAAUGACCUGCCAGCGACCAAGCAAGAAAACCUCAGAAGAUACCAAACCUCCCUUGCCAAUCGCGAUAACAAAGAUGUCCCAAGUCACAGCCAAUCUCUCCCAUCCAGGAGAGGAGAGCAGCACGCUGAGAAAAGAGGACCCUGGGUUUCACCCUCUUCCC